rnacentral:rRNA from 1 species
UACAGAGGGUGCGAGCGUUUAAUCGGAAUUACUGGGCGUAAAGCGUGCGCAGACGGUCACGUAAGUCGGGUGUGAAAGCCCCGGGCUCAACCUGGGAAUUGCAUUCGAGACUGCGUGGCUAGGGUGCGGAAGAGGGAAGCGGAAUUUCCGGUGUAGCGGUGAAAUGCGUAGAUAUCGGAAGGAACACCAGUGGCGAAAGCGGACUUCCUGGUCCAGC